CAAGCUACGAGCCGAACACGACAACUUACUGUUGCCAACAACGAGCUUUUUUUUGACAGCCCUAACUGUAACGCGCGGUCGCGACGAUCGGGAACAGGGAGGCGGAUCGGGCUCCAGCUUUCCACCUCCACCUGGUUACGUGGAAAUCCCGACGUCGCACACAGGCCGAAUGAAAGAGAAGUGUGACAGCUGAAGGAAGGCUGAGAACGGGAAAGACGAAUUUGAACAUUUGAUUUUUAUUCUGUCUGCCAAUUCCCUUGUGAAUAUCUCCUAUCAGAUCAAAUACAGGGGCUCUAAUUGCAAUAAUGACUAGUGAUGAGUCGACAUUCACAGAAACUUUGGCCGGACUAUAAUUUCACGAUCUCGAGUUACUUGCGAUGUUUUAAGUAGCGUUCGAAGAGGUGUUGAUUUGAGAACAAAUCUUUUUGAAGCGGGGAAGAAUGAUUCAAAUGGAGCUACACUCAAGCAUGAUGGACGUUAAAUACCUUUGUCUCUUCCAAGUGUGCAAGUCACAAGACCUAGAGCUAGAAAGCUUUAAAUGAGCCAGCCCAACAAGUUGGCGAAUUAACUUACACAUGGAGGCUCAACAAGAAUCCACAACAAACCCAAGUGCCUAAUCAAUGUGAUUAAGACUCUAGAAGGGUUUCCUUAAGAACAUAUUUUUUAGCCAUUCUUGAAAGCCAACUUGUCAGAUUCACGAAUUUGGAAAGCACGUCUGUUUUAGAGCGACAUGUGGGCCCCAUAUCACUAAGGUCUUUUUAUCAAAUUUUUAUUAUAUUUGUUAUGUAAUGUUCGAAUUCCUUAGCUUAGUGAUUCUGUUUUAUUUAAGCAUGUAAAUUUGGAUAUUUUCCUUUUUUUUC